rnacentral:lncRNA from 1 species
CUAUGUGCAUAUUAAACAAAGGACACAGAUGGAUUCAUGACAAAAUUGUGUUUUGGGGAUGGUGAUUUGUUCGUAAUUAUUGGCCCACCCCUGUGACGCCAUAUUACUUUACUGAAAACUCUUGCUGUUAACAAUAUAUCUAUCUAUAAUGCACUUUGCCCAGUAGUUAAAGAGAAAAACAUUUUGUAAAAAUUUACCAAAAUUUACAAAAUUUAUGAAAAUUGUUAAAAAAUGAC